UGAGUGCGAGCGGCUACGGCCGCGAAGUGGGUGAUGUCAAGCUUCCAAGAAAAGCCCUAUACCCGUUAAGGCAUGAUGGCCUGUACCCGAAACCGACACAGGUGGGGUGGUAGAGAAUACCGAGGGGCGCGAGGUAACUCUCUCUAAGGAACUCGGCAAAAUGGCCCCGUAACUUCGGGAGAAGGGGUGCCACCGCAAGGUGGUCGCAGUGAAGAGGCCCAGGCGACUUUUUACCAAAAACACAGGUCUCCGCUAAGUCGCAAGACGAUGUAUGGGGGCUGACGCCUGCCCAGUGCCGGAAGGUUAAGGAAGCUGGUCAGCGCAAGCGAAGCUGGCGACUGAAGCCCCGGUGAAUGGCGGCCGUAACGAUAACGGUCCUAAGGUAGCGAAAUUCCUUGUCGGGUAAGUUCCGACCCGCACGAAAGGCGUAACGAUCUGGGCGCUGUCUCGGAGAGAGGCUCGGCGAAAUAGAAUUGUCUGUGAAGAUGCGGACUACGUGCACCCGGACAGAAAGACCCUAUGAAGCUUUACUGUAGCUUGGUAUUGUGCCCGGGCUCUGAAUGCGCAGGAUAGGUGGGAGGCUUUGAUCCAUGGCUUGCGGGUCAUGGUGAGCCAACGGUGAGAUACCACUCUUUCAGAGCUAGGGUUCUAACGGUCACCCGUCAUCCGGGGACCGGACAGUAUCAGGUGGGCAGUUUGACUGGGGCGGUCGCCUCCUAAAAGGUAACGGAGGCGCGCAAAGGUUUGCUCAGGCUGGUUGAAAUCAGCCGACGAGUGCAAAGGCAGAAGCAAGCUUGACUGUGAGACCUACAAGUCGAACAGGGACGAAAGUCGGCUUUAGUGAUCCGACGGUUCUGAGUGGAAGGGCCGUCGCUCAACGGAUAAAAGUUACUCUAGGAUAACAGGCUGAUCUCCCCCAAGAGUUCACAUCGACGGGGAGGUUUGGCACCUCGAUGUCGGCUCAUCGCAACCUGGGGCUGAAGUCGGUCCCAAGGGUUGGGCUGUUCGCCCAUUAAAGCGGUACGCGAGCUGGGUUCAGAACGUCGUGAGACAGUUCGGUCCAUAUCCGGUGCACGCGCAGGAACAUUGAGAGGAUUUCUCCCUAGUACGAGAGGACCGGGAGGAACGCACCUCUGGUGUGCCAGUUAUCGUGCCAACGGUAAACGCUGGGUAGCCAUGUGCGGAGUGGAUAACCGCUGAAACCAUCUAAGUGGGAAGCCCACCUCAAGAUGAGUGUUCCCAUGGCAUAAGCCAGUAAGGUCACGGGAAGAACACCCGUUGAUAGGCUCUACGUGGAAGCCGGGUAACCGGUGAAGCGGAGGAGUACUAAUAGACCGAGGGUUUGACC
rnacentral:rRNA from 1 species